CACUUGAAUGAUAAACUUCAAUUAUUCUACAUAAAUAUGUCAACAUUGAUAUCCACUCACAAGAAAAAAAAAGGUAUUUGACAUCUUUUUGAAAGAAGCACAAGCUUUGAAACUAUUUCAUGAGAAACUAAUAAUCCUUUCUGAAAAGAAAGAUAAAUAAUUCUUUCCAGAAAAUUUGAGACAGGAGGCCAUAUUCUUUAAUUCUGUCAAGUCAUCAUUUCAAUAGGAUAAAUAAGCAUAAAAGAUCAUAAAAUUAAACAUACAUAAAUGUGCCACCUUUGCUUUUAGAAAGUACCCACUAGCAAAAAAAAAAAGUUGGGAAUCUUCAGGAGAGAAAGUAGAAAUUUGGAAACUAUUUCACUGACUACCAAAAAAAAAAAAAUAUUUUUACAUAUCUAUCAUUUUAAAUUUUAGAAAUAGUGUAUUGCAUAACCAUCCAAAAAUUUAUAUUUUACAUGUGUAUUUAAGUAUAUUAUAUAUGUUCCUCCCAUUCAUAUCCAUCCAAUAAAUUCAAAUCUACUACUUCCAUGAUUCAUUUGACACCUUUCAUAUUUUAAUAUUUUUUCAAUAUCAUUAUACUAAAAAUAUAUGAUAGAGAUAUAUCUAUAGGCUUUUGAACUUAUAUGACAAAUAUAUUCACAUGCUUAACUUAAUUUUAGAGGGAUAAAUAAAAAAAUCAUUAAGGAUACUAAUGUUAAUCAGAUAUCAAGUGCAAUGAUAUAUGCUAAACUUAAAUUUAGAGAGACAAAGAAAAAAAAAUAUAUAUGUAAUUUUUCUAAAGAAAAGGAGAUAUUGUGAGCCAAUCAAAUAGAGAUGAGAGAGAGAGAGAGAGAGAGAGAGAGAGAGAGAGAGAGCCACCCUUUUCAUCCCCUUUCUCCAUUUGGCCAGUCGGUGAGCCAAUUUAAUGCUGUAAACACUCCAAAGACUGACUUAAUUGGAACACCACAGCACUAUGAAUUGGUCAAACACUGAGCACAAGCAACCCAUUUUUGUGCAGUGAUGGUGGCAAAAGCAAUGGUGGGAUUGGAAGACAAAGGUGAAGAGCAGAAUCAAAUAACGCCACCCCGAUGCCACAAAGGAACUCGUGGCUCAGAAUCCCCUCCUCCCUGCUCACGUGGCCUCCUUCUUCCUCCUUCCCCUUCCUCCUCUGCUAAACCCCGCGACGGCUGAGAAAAGAACACGAGGAGGCGAGCUGAGACAGAGCACUUGAACAGGGGAGACAAAAACAGGGGAGUCCAGAAGAUGUCAGAGAACAGAGAAAGCGCGAUCAAGCUCUUCGGCAUGACGAUCCCCCUGCAGCUUACCAGCAGCGGAGACGACGACGAGGUACUUCUUCUGGCCUGCUCGGUGAUCUUAUAGGUGUGAAUGAUGAUUUGACUUGUGUCGAGAGAACUGCAAAGAUCGGAUUUUUGAGUUCAAAGGUUGCUCCUUUCCUUCACGCCGAGUUUCGGGCAGCAAUACUUGCAUCGAUUGUUGUUGAUCAGCUAGGUUUUUUUAUGGAAAUCUUCGAGAUUUGUCUUUGAUUUUAAUUGUGAGCUGUGAAUUUUUUGAAUCUCGGUGAUGAUCCUCCAUUGAUGUGAGAAUAAAUCACUUUUGUGCUUCGGUCUCAGGAUGUCGACAAGGAAGACGCUACUGCUACAUCACAAGAACCAGAGUCGCAGGACAAGAACGAGUCCGCCACAUGUUCCAGCGAGAUCCAUAAACCAGUUUCCGCCGAUCAAGAAGACGCGUCGUCGACGAAGAACCCCACGAAGACGGCGGCCGAAGGUGUGAAGAAGACGGAGAAGAUCCUCCCUUGUCCUCGGUGCAGAAGCCUCGACACCAAGUUCUGCUACUACAACAACUACAACAUCAACCAGCCGCGGCACUUCUGCCGGAACUGCCAACGGUACUGGACCGCCGGGGGCACCAUGAGGAACGUCCCUGUCGGAGCCGGUCGCCGCAAGAGCAAGCACUCCUCCCACUGCCGCCUCCAAGCUCUUCGGCCCGACACCCACGAACCGGUCCAUUACACCUCUCUGAGGCCAAACGGCACGGUUCUCAGCUUCGGCACGGAUGCGCCGGUGGCAGAGAAGGCGAACGGCUGCAACAAGAACAGUGGUGAUGAGCUGCAACAGGAGAACGAAGGAUCGACCGCUCCAGUUCCUUGUUUCAGUGGAUCUCCCUGGCCGUAUCUUUGGGCGCCGGCUCCGCCUCUCUGUGCUUCGACCUUUCCAGUUGCGUUCUACCCGGCUGCGGCCUACUGGAGCUGGAGCAUCCCAUGGCCGUCUUCCUUACCUCCUUCCUCCCCUAACUACAGAGGAUUAGGAUCCAGUUCUACUGCCUCAGGCAAGCACUCGAGGGAUGCAAGCAUGAUCGAGAGCAGCAUUCACAAAACACCGAGGAGGAUCGAUGACCCGGAAGAAGCCGCAAAGAGCAGCAAGAUCGACGCAGUCAGCAACGGAGGGCUCCUCAAGGCCUUCCAGCCUAAGCUAUACGUCAAGAACCAAGUGCUAGAGACACCAUUACUGGUGCAUGCCAACCCUGCGGCACUCUCUCGAUCUCUGCACUUCCAGGAGACCUCUUAGAGCAGCAGAAUCUCUGCAAAGCGAACUCCUAUAGACACACACAGGUAGAAACUGAGUUUGGCCAGGCAGAAACAAGUAUCCUCAGAUUGAUGAGAUGUAACAGUAGGAAUUGUUCUGCUAAGUAUUAUUCUACAUGUCAAUAGGUGAGCUGUGUUAGUGAGAGGUUCAUUUGUACAUCAAUAACUCUUGCAAACUUGAUCGAGAAGAAUGAUAAUGAGUGGCUGCUUGCUUAGAUUCUCCUUUGAUUUCUGUACCUAUUUGGAUAAGCAUCAGUUUAUGUUCUGGAUGCUACAAGAACAGCCAGAAAGAAAUUGGAUCCAAAGCUCAGAUGUCAUAAGAUAUGUCUAAAUAAUAGGCAAUGCCAUGAGUGAGAAGCUAACAAAGAAGAAUCAUGCUGAGAAGAGGACUGAGAGCAUAGUCCACAAGCAAAUUAUCGAAAAUUUAAUAUGUUUGAUUAUUGUUUGUUCAUCUUAUCAGUAGAUAUCCAAAAUAGAUUUAUUUUCCAACAGCCAAAGAGAUGUUUUGGUAAUUGCUACAUAUAAUCAAAUUCGAGUAAUUUCAUAGUAAGGGAGGUAAGUCGGAUUUAGUUGGCUUUUGCAUAACCUCAUUUUGUAAGAGAUACUGAUGAUAUUUAUUUGUUGUGAUAAUUAUUCAUCAAUCAAACUAUAAAAGAAGUAAACACAUUGACAUCCAUUAUUACUUCCUAUAAGAUCUAACGAAGAUUAAAAUUGUUGAUAUAUCAACGAAGCUUAAGUUUUUAGAUUGAAUUCAUACUUAAUCUAUCUUAACUCAUACUUAGAAGAAGCAACUGCAACCACUGCUGAAUGGGGUGAGAGAAAAGGUUGGGAAGAAGACAAUGGCAUAGAUGACAUGAAAGAUUCCUCUUAAUUAGUCCAACUAUUGUCUCAUUGAGGGUAGAGCUGAAUUCCUGUCACAUUCAGCCAAGCAUCUAUCUAUCUUCUGCCAAAAGAUGGAGAAAAGAGAGGAGGGAGAUGAUAAUGGAGAUUUUUCUCUCUCUGUCUCUUGUUUUUUUCUAUAUGCUGUAAUGUUCUGUAAAGAUAAUUGUAUAACAUCACAGGAAAUUGGACUUGAAGCAACCAUCUUCAUUGAAGAAAUAGUUGGAUCCACCAAUUGCUUAGCAGCACAGUUCAUUCCUAUUAUGUUAAGCAUAAUAAAAGAAAUGUUUAAAUACAGUGGAGGAAGAAGAAUUCUCAGUCAGUCAAAGGGUUGAGUCAAAAGUCAGCAGAACAUGAAAUGAAAUGUUCAACCACUUUGAGAUUGUGGUUUCUGUCUCUUGGAAUUUUGGAACCUGACCUAUAUCUUUCUCCAUUUAUCUACUGGUUGACUAUCUUACUCAGGUCACCAUGUUUGACCUUGGCAAGAGUACUCUCACUGUCUUACUCUACAUCAGAUUAAAUGAGGAAGCAAUGGGUGAGUAGGGCAGUGCCUUCAGCAUUAUUGUUAUUGCUGGUAGGCACUCAAGCACUAGCUUCAGUCAACUCCUCUGACCUCUGAAUUAUGGUCAGACAGGUGAAGAAAAUGAUCAGAUAAAUGCAAGAAGUAAUAACCAAUCAUGAUUUGCUGCAAUAUGUCAUUCAUUAUUUAGAAUUCCUAAAUAAUCAAGUCAACUGAAAUAAAAAAAAAUUAUCAAAAAACUUAAGGAUUCAAAAUCUCAUUAAACAAAUUUUAGUACAGUAAUGAUAUGUUCAAAAUCAAAAUUUUGAAUAUAUUAUUUAGCUUAGGUUGAUUGCAGCAUGAUCUUUAAAGAUUUGUGAUAAAGGAUGUCUCCCUGUUUGGCCCCACACUGUGGCCUGUUUUAGGUCAUUGAUCAAAAGAGGUCAGCUUCUUUUUGACUUGAUGAGGUUUCACUUACAAUUAGGACAAAUGCUUUGUCAUCAAGUGAUUGGAAGGUUCAUUUGUGAUUGAAGCACUCAACCUCACAAAGUAGACCACUUUGGCAAAGCAUGGCUGCACUUUCCAUCAAUGGCAGGAUAAAGUUGCAAGCAUGGCUCAAGUGACCUCUCACUGUGGUAACUUAGUGGAAGGAAAAAUUUUGAGAAGAUGGAGCAUGACAAGGGGAACUAUAGAACAAACAAAAUACAAACAACUCAUGCUUUUUGGUGUCUCCUCUGUCAGUGUGGUGUGCAUGCAAACAAAAAGAUAAGAUGGAAGAACAAAGAAUGACCUAAUAAUCAUUGUAAGCUCCAGCGAUUUAAAGUGUUUUGCACAGAUCUUGGCUUGUUUUUUUCCUUUGGAGUCAAAUUUGUAUGACUUGUAGCUUUGAUCCCUGUCUACAUAUAUGCAUACAACUUUAUUUUUAUGUGUAAUACAUACAGGCUGAAGUCUAAUUUGGAAGUAACUAAAAAAUAAUAUUUUUUCUCUAAUUUAAAAAAUAAUAUUUCUUCUCCAAUAAAAUUCUAUUAUAAGAUAUCAUGAAGAAAAAGGAUUAUGUUAAAUCACUGAUAAUACAUACUUUUAAUAUAUCAAUUAUUACUGUCAAAAUCUCGACAAUAGUAAUAAUAUCAAAAAUAUUUAUGUCUCGAAAUCGAUUAUACGAAUGUUUUAUAGUUAUUAAGUUAUGUUACGAUAAUUUAUUAACUCUAUUUAUCAAAAAAUAUUUAUGAUAAUUUGAUUUAAUGCUAUUUAUUUUAUUUUAAAACCAAUCUACCCAACUAUUUUUUUGAUAAAAAUAAUUUAAUCAUUUUAUAUAAAAAAUAGAUAAAUUCUCAAAAAAUACUCCUAAUUUGAUAAAUUUGUGUAGAGCACUUUUCAAAAAUUCUUAUGGUAUGCUUCAUCAUUCGUAAAAAAAAUGAUUUUAUCCCUGCUCUUUUUAUCUUUGGUCACCUCCACGUGUGUUCCCUCCAUCCUUCAUUUAUUACCCUCGUACCCCAUAGCUACAUAUGUCGUCGUCGAUUGUCAUGUCCAUGACGAUCGUAGAGGACAAAGAAGGAUUGUCGAGAAUCACCUCUGCCUUGACACACGAGCCUCUAAUCUUCUCCACAUAGAGGCACUUUGUCCUUGUUCGCCCUUAGCCAUUGCCUUGCAUCGUUAUUCUAUCCUCCCUUCUUUCUCUACCGCCAUCGUCAUCCUCGCUCGCUGUCUCUUUCGUUAGAUACGACAAUAUGAAGAACGAAGAUGACCAACAAAAGAUUAGGGGGAUGAGAUCCCAUAUACGAAGGUACAAAUGAUUAGAUUAGGGAUAAAGAAAAAAAAAUCUAUCUUUUUAAAAGAUUAGGUGUUCUCUAACAAUUUUUGAAAAUAGGAACAUUUCGUAAAAAAUUUCUCAAACCUACCGACUAUUUUUUCAUAAAUUUACCCAAACAGAAUUCUUGGUGGGUAAAAUGAAUAAAAAAACAAACUUCAAAUUUCGAACCAAAGAAGAGAGAGAGGAGAGAGAGAGAGCGAUGAGGUCCUUUUGCUCUCGAUAAGCACCGCCAUCCCUCUCCCUGGUCUCCGACUCCAUCACCGAUCGCUUCCAGUUCUUCUAUCCCUAACUCUAAUCCUGAUGCUCACAGGUUCUCUGCUUAAUACCAGACGCGGGCUUCGGCAGCAGCGAGUGGCUCCAACACGCCGACCUCGCGGAGGCGGCGCCGUCAUCCGCCACCAUCUGGUUGGAGCCUGACACCUGACCCAGACAUGAAUUCGAGACUGAAGCGAAGUUUCAAAUCGAAUCCGGGCUCGGAUUCAAUGCCCUUAUAUCCGGAUUCCUUGGGCGUCGUACCCCUGCCUCGUUUGUUCCCCAUCGUUCCUCGGCCUUUCGGUGUCUACGGUGAUUGCUUAAUCUCCCCAUUCAAGUACGCGAUGCACCGAUCUCUUACUCUAAUUUGCUUCUGAUACUUUUUACUUCAAGAUAUGAUGAUUGCAAGACUCCUAAGACAUCUAAUGUUCUAAUUCUUUUUCUCCCUCGUGUUGUCACUUCUCUUUCCUGUCUACACAGUAUGUUUUGGCAAAAUCUUGGCAAAGAUUCAACCUUUGCAAGACCCUCAUGACAUGUUAUGUUCAAGAUUCUGAUUUUGUUCCUCCGUUUUGCCUCGAGUUGGCAGAACGCUGAGAGAGAUCUAAAUUUUAGUUAUAUAAGCUUCUGAUGAUGUCAAUUAUAAGAAGAUUACAAGAUACUCAUGACAUGUUAUGUUCAGGAUUCUCUUACAAUCCUCUCCGUUUCUUCUUCAGAUUUUAAAAAAGUUUUCAAUUAAUUAGUGAUGGAAUUUUGGAUUCCGAGCAGCAGCAGUAAUUUAAUCUUGAUGCAGCUUGGGAGACCUCCGAUAGCUGCUUGUAUAUGAUUUGAAGGAAGAAGAGAGAAUUAUCACCAUACUUCAUUAUUUGAGAAUGACUUAAGCUCAAGCUGGAAAUGCCGGUCUGCCCUGCAUGAACUUUCUUAGAAUGGCAGCUGUGCCUGUUCUAGAGCGACUACAUUUAGAGGAAAGGCUUCUCAGGACCUCAGCAGACAACUGGUGUAUAGUUAACGAUGGGACAAUUCAUCUUGCUAUAGUUAUGGCUUAUGGGAGUCUCUGGGUCAAAUUGUGUUUCAUAGCAUAUUUAUUUGUUGUUUCCGUGUUCUUUUGAUCUCUUUUGGUGUGCCUAUAACUAUUUAUAUCUCUCUUCUUGCAUGAUAUGGCUACCUAAAGAUUGUGUUUGGGGCUAUUAAAAGAAGACUGACCAUCAGCAUGAAAUUAUAACUUCAGGAGGCCUUCAGAACUAAUUUAACUGAAGUCUGUGCUUCAUGAUCAAAUUCCUGUAAUUAGAAGAUACAGUGGAGGUGGUACUGUUAUUGUUGAUGAUGGAACAAGUUUGUCAACUUUAUCUGCAAUAAAAAUGCUAUUCCGGGGCUGCAACCAUAUCCUCGCCCUAUAUAUCAUGGACCGGCCAAUUGUAUGGCGAGGUGCUUCAUGGAUUUGGUGACUUCCAUCUCUGUGAAAAUGGUAUGCAGGAUGAAUUUAAGCUACUUCAUUACACGCUCAGCAUUAUUUGGUAUUUAAAUUGUCUUUACAUGUAUGAUUUCCUUAUUUCUUCGCUUGUAAAUUUCAACAUCUGCUUGUCGCUCACCUGCCAUUUUUUAUAAAUGGAAUACUGGUUCAUGAUACUUUUGUAAACUAAACUUAUCAUCAUAGGAUAUAUUGUGAUACCUCUAACAAAAAGAUGCUGAGAUGCCAACUGAUUCUGAGUAAAUUGGUCUCUUUCAGAUGUUUGUGGAUUCUAUUUCAACCUUAAUUGAGCAGAUGUAGUUGUUUUUCUUUUUGUCAAAGCUAAACCAUACUUAAACUUUGAUAUGUAGUUCUUGGUGACAUUCCAAAAAGAUCAUGGGAAUAUCCCUCUGGCACUUACAAUUAUAUUUAUGGAGGUUCAUUUUGCAUUUCAAAUAACUUGAGAUGACUUGUUUAUCACACUCACAAUUAUCUGAAAAGUCAUGAAAUUAAGACUCGUAUCAAUUAUCUUGUUUAUGAGAACGAAGCAUCUCGUAUUGUCAGAUUGUGUUGUCAUUUAUCUAUUAUCAUAUCUCUUAAAAUGAUAUUCCUUUAUCCUUAUUUUCAGAUUAUGCAUUUAAUAACCACAAGUUUGGUGGAAAUGGUCAGUCCAUAAUUAAAGAGUGAUGGAUCCAUCACACCAUUUCUAUGGGAUUAUGAUAUAUAGAAUAUGGAAUACUUGAAGCUUGCCUCCUGUGCUCUGAAAUAUCGAUCGGUAUAGCUCUAUAUCAGUCUAUUUCUAUUGGAAAUGUGAACAUUCUUAUAAUUGAUGCUGAAAUUUUCCUUUAUAACUGCCUUAUAUUGAUCAUUAUUUCAAUAACUUGUUAAAAAAAAUGAUCUUUGUGUUACUUAAGGGGUAUUAUAUUGUCAUUUUGGAAAAGAAAAGUUCUAUUUGUUCCCUCAAAAAAAAAAAAAAGGUGACUUGUCAGUUUCCUGAUAAACUGCAUGUACAAGUUUGAUGGUGAGAUGAUUUCGAUACGAGUGUUGAGUUGACUAGCUAAGUGAUUGUAACACUUGAGUCCUCUGUUCAUCCAACUUACACAGGGUGUGAACUAUAGUUGUCAUCCCUCAAGGUUAUGCCACUUGGUAAAAGUAUCAAAUCUUUGUUCAGUUAUAGAUCAUCACAUGAAUGGCAUUAUUCUUUAUGCUGCAAAACCCACCAAAACUCUGGUGGUUAUUGCACUUUGUAUGCAUGUUUGUAUGUCGAUUCCUAUUAGAUUUUUGCUAUCAUCUUCUGUCAGUUUUUUCCUCAACUUUUUUUGUUGUUGAAGCUCUGCUCCAUGUAUCAAAUGUAAAUUAUUUUCUAGUCCAAUAACAAUUUUUACAUUCAAAUUUAAGAUAGAUGAUCUGGUUAUCUGAAUGCUAGUAAUCUGAAUUCUCAAUGCUUCCUAUAUCAGACACGAUCUCAUGUUAAAUUCUUGUGCCGAAUGAAAGAACAUGCCCCAUCUAGAUCAACUUUUAUAGAAAGAACCAUCAAAUCUCUUGGAAGCUAUUUCUUAAUUAGACCAUUUCAGCUGGAUGAAAUCGCAGGUCGUCCCAGCACUGUCUUUGAUCAGGAGCUGAAGGAUGCACGUUCAUCACAGUGCGAGGACUCAAGAUUGCUGGCUUUGAUCAGGAUCACAUCCUGAUAACUCAGUAAUGGCUCUCAGAUUCUCUAGUGUUCUGUUUUAUUUCAUGUCACAGCAAUGGAGGCCUGAUGGCAUGUAUCUCUCAAAACAUUUGAGGCACUGUCGAUGAAAGUUAAUAUGAUAUGUCGUAAUAAAUUGAUUUGGUGAUUAUAAUCUUUUAUGUGCCAUGUCAAAUUUCAUUAUAUAUCUGUCUGCCAGUUUGAUUUCGAUCAUACGAGUCUCUUCAUGUGAUCAUGAUUUUAUUGGUGUUGAUGUUAUAACAGAUUGUUUUAUGUACUGAACGAUCGUUGGACAUAUGUAAACCCUGCAGGCAUCAGCACAAAACAGGUUUGUAUGUAAACCCUGCAGACAUCAGUAACUAUUUUGCUCUCCUGUAGAAGAUAACAUCAUCACAGGAAGCAAACCCUCCCAAGGAGGAACAUAUCUGAAGCCUGAUUCAGGUUAUGAGCACUUGUAGAAAAAAAUGUAUCAUACUUAAAUCCAGAUAACUAAGUUUCUAAGAAUAUUAUAUUAGGUGCAAGUGGCAUACAUACCAAGAUACAAGCAAGGGUAACAAACUUGCUUCAGAUACAAGACUGGGAAUGCCCGAGGAAACCUACCCAUGAGUUAUGAUUUGAAGCCAAUACACUUCCAGAAUGACAUGUUAAAGUUUUAGGGCAUCACCAACACUGAAAAACCUGAAAAUGGAAGCACAUUCCCAUGCCCUAAUUUAAAGCUUUUACAAAAAAAUCACCCGGCGCACUCAAACUUCACAAUAACUGCGAAACCAUGACACAAAAGAAGCGACCACAACUGCCAGUCAGACAAACCGGUUCACAUUUUGUUCAUGGAUUGACUACUUGGGGAAGCAUGGCUUUUAUGUUCCUACUUGUGACACGGCUGCACCAUCUUGUUAGACAUGGCUAGAUGUCUGAUGACGAGGAGCACCAAGAUGUUCCUUGACCCACUCGUAUUCCUCCUUGAAAACCAUUGGAUGGACAGAGCCCACUUUUCUUCAAAUUCUCUGCUCGUUCCUUGGCCGAAUUUCCCUUCAAUGACAGCUGCCUCUUGAGACGGUUCCGACUCGACAAAAUCAUCUUACUCUGGUUUGGCGUGUGUAAAGCCCCUUCUACACAAUCUCCCACCUGUGUGCAGCUCCACAUACUCGAAGGCCCUUCUCCCCUUGGUGAUCUUAACCUUGGAAUUCUAUUUCUCGCCAGGCAAACCGCCCACUGGUCUGGAACAUUCUUGUCUGGCUUCGUGCAAAGCGGGCAAGGCGGAUCAUGUUUGUACGUCUUAGGUGUGACCCGCUCUAAGCAUUCAGCAUGAUACACAUGCCCACAUGACAGGACACUAACUACUGGCAUAUCUCCGCUACGAACAAUCCGGCGAGAACCCCAUGGUGAUCUUUGAGACAAUAACCUCUCACAAAGUCCACAUUUGGAAACCUCAGGCACAGCAUUAUAUGGAUAACCCACCUCAGGUUCCAAUUGUUCAGAGAUGCCUGUGAAGUCAACACUGCCAGUGCUACUCCAACGCACUGAUUCCCUUGGAAGGUUGGCACCAAUCUCUGAGAACCAAAGAGAAUGAAGCUCUGGCAGCGGUCUGGUGGACCUAUGAUCAGAAUGUAGACUGCUGCUGGAGAUUGUAGAACCAACAGUAUGAUUUUGUUCUUCAAUUCCAGUAAUGUGGUCAGGGAAUGAUACAGGAUGAAUGGGCUUUGACAUGAAAAACCGAUGAUUGGAGAAGCUGCGGCGGGCAGAACUGUGGGAUUUUGAUAUAGGAUCAUAUUCACUGCCAUCUGAACGGGAAGAAAUGGAACCAUUAAAAGAUGAGAAUCCUAGAGUUCCCUGCAGGACCAGAGCACAAAUUAGUCCAUAUUGUAGAAACUCAGCAUAAUACAGGAUAUAUUAUUUGUGCUCAUCGCAUUGCAGUUGAAAUACCUCCACCAAUGAUGAGAUCAGAGGUCCAGACGCUGGAUCUGGUAAUCAGUGAAACAGCUUUCAGUUGAAGAUAUAUCAUUAACAGAAUUUCAAGAUACAUAUACAGAUUACAGAUAUGUAGUAUGCAUAUGCUUUUGGCAGUCAAAACAUGUCCAGAUCAAAUUGUAUGAUAUACUACGGACAAAAUUGUCAAUGGAAUAACAGGAAGCAUAAUAUCCAACCAAGAUAAAGCACAUGAAACAGUCAACUGAUAAAUCACAGGGAAAUGAAUCUAAUUAGGGAUUAGAAUGAGCCAAUAAUAGGUCAAGCUUGAGCCUCAUGGGUUCCAAUUCUUGUUUUAUGCUUUUCAAGUACAUCCAUAAAUUUUCAUCAUGUUCUCUAGCUGUUUAAAGGAAUUAUACAAAAUGUAUUUUAGGCAAUAUCAAACCAAGAUAGCAAAAUAGUCCCCAUGUUCUUGUUAAGAUUAGUUUUAUAAUACUAAAGGAUCCAGGUGCCCUAACAUAAAGGGAAACAUGGAAGAGGUGCACUAGCAGCUGUCUUUUAAAAUACUCCCAGAGUUUCCAAGUUUUCUCCGAGACUUCAUUUGAUAUCAAAUCUGAAGAAACCUAAUAGCAAGGUUCAAAAUAUUGGAGUCAGUCCAAAAUUGAUAUUGGACUCUGGGAUCAAGAAAAGACUGUUGAGUCAAAAUUGAUUAAAAUCAGAUUUAGUCCAGUCAGGCUGACAGGUAACAAUCAGUAUAUGCUGGCUCAGCUAGGAGAAAAAGGAAUCAUCAUUUUCUGCUGAAAUUGGCUACAUAUACCGAGAAACUGUUAGCUCAAGGAUGGCAGGAAUCACCUUAAGAAUGGCUAGGAUCAAUCAAUAACAAAAAAGUUGAAUAAAAUUGGCUGGAAAUGGCUAGGACCACAGUGGACUGAAAAUAUCUCAUCCCAAAACAUCUUGAAUUUUAUGGCGAUCAAAUCAGAUCAAGUCCAAUACAAAUUGGUCAAUUUUUAAAACUCCACUAAUCCCACUUGCAACCUCCGGUUCCACCCCAGAGAUGAAUUAAUUUUAAGCAGAUGUCCCUGGUUCAUCACAGUCAAUGUUACUAUUAAUUUAGAAUUGCUAUGUUUUAUAAUGAUACUAAUUAGAACCACCAGCUCACUGCAAUCUAUUGUAGCACAAGGACAAAACUUAUAGUAGCAGAACAUGUACCAUGCUACCAACCAACAAACAGAGCAGUGGGAUUAAUCUAGAAGUUCAAUCCUAUCCUUCCACUAUGGAGGGCAUGAUCAAAGUUGCUAUUAGUUUUUUAGACAACUGCUUGCCGAGGAGAAGAGAUAGUGGUCAAUAAUGGCAAGCCUCAGUGUUGUGACUUGGUGAUUAUGUAUCAAGUCAUGCAAACUUCUUUGCUCGAGAGUAAGGCUGAAAAUGUUGACACUCGUUAAAUCUUGUGUUGCCACAAGUCUUAUACAUUUGAGUCACCCCUUUUAGAAAAACAACAACAACAAAGCUGAAAACCCCAACUACUUGGGGUCAGCUACAUUGAUCUUUUGCUGCCAUUGAGAUCUGGAAAGAGUCAUAUAUCUAGUUAAGUUUAAAGCAAUUCUAGUUAAGUUUAAAGCAAUUGAAUCUUUAUUUAUAGUUUCUAUUAAAGUCUUUUUAGGUCUUCCUCCAUCUCUCCUCAUACCACUAACGUUAAUCAUUUCAGUUCUUCUACAUCCGUGGGUUUCCUAACCAUAUGCUUAUACCAUCUUAAAUGGUUUUCUCUCAUCAUAAAGCAUUGUUACUCUCACAACUAUCAUAUACUUUUUUUUUAUUCUCAAAUAUAUCCAAUGAUCACACAAGACUCUUGAUUCCUCUCAUCAUUUUAACCAUCCUAUUUUUACUCAAUGAAUAUGUUUUCUUAUCGAUCUAUCCAUCUUGUUGACUAAUUGAUCCAAGAUACCUAAAUUUUUUAUUUAAAAGAACUUUCAGUCCAUCCAACUUAAUUAUAUUUUCUUGUAUAUUCCUAGAAUUACUAAAAUUGCAUCUCAUAUAUUCAGUUUUAGUCCUACUUAAUCUAAAACCUUUAUUUUCUAAGGAUUGAGUAGGAACAUUGAGUGAGGAAAAUAAAGUGGAAGAAGAUUUGGAUAGAUAUCUAUAUAUGGUAUUGCUUUAUCAUUCUUCAACCUCUUAUGUUCCAUCAAUCUGUCUCAUCUUGACGUGCAUGACCCAUCUGGGGGGUUCGUAUAAUGUUCUGAAGAACAGACUAACCAUUAAUCCAAAAUAAAAGGAAGGUAAGGUUUACAGGUUCAACCGAGUCAAACAGGAGGUCACACUGUGUUCGCAGAUGGAAUGCACUUGAAGUAUGCAAGACAGAAAUAAACCUAUCAUGGAAAGGCAUAUAGGAGAUGUCCCUCUCAGAGUCAGCUUAUCAGACAAAGUUGUCGCUCCUUACCUACAAUCCCUUGUAGGCAUUCACCUCACGAUAAACUAUAUUUCAGUUAACCAAUAAAUUAGUUAUGUAGCAUUAAAGAUGUAACAUUAUAGGUAUUGGCGCAAUGACAAUGACUAGAAUACUAUUCUUUUUUGAAAUGUCAAAAAAGUUUGUUUAGUGCAAAUGAUGGUGCAUUCCAAGACAGAAUCUGGAAGCAGAAUGAGUAGUAACUUACACAGAGAAGAUUAGACACACAUAAUGAAUUCCUUAUUAUUUUCAGAUUUCUUCUCUGCAAUAUAUAUCAUAAACGUACCUAUGUCAAUUUGCCACAAUCUCUCCGAUAGCUUUCAGAAUGGUACAAGCAUGCUAUGCUUGAAACACUAAAAAUUUUUCAAGAUAAAUUCACUAAUAGAGAUGCUAAAUCAAUAUAUCAGCUAGCGUCCUUAUGAAACUUGAUGAUAUGCAAAUAAUUGUAUGGUCUAAUCUGCAAUGAACUACAAUACAUUACAAUUUUGCGUUACUUCAAGCAUACAAGAUUUACAGUGGCAAGAUAACAAAUACCAAAGCACUUUAUCCUCAUAACAAAAUACACAAAAUAAAAGCAAUAAUACUCCAAAUUGAAGAGUACCUCCAACAAACUCUUCAACAUUAGCCCCUUGUGUGGGUGCUGGUGUCAAUUGAUGAUUUUGGAAGCUAUCAGAAGGGCUACUGAUAUACGAAAUUGCACCAUCAGAGGCAGAAAAUUGAUGAUUGCCAGGAGAAUCACCCCUCCCCCAGCUCCUGCUACUUUUACUAUUUGAUGAACGAGAUGAUACAUAACGUCCAACUCCACCAUCUCCUUGAGAGCCAAACGAGAGCCCUUCAGAAUGGAAACGAUAAUCCCACCUCGUCGACAAGGGUGGCGAGAUGCUCGAGUUUGUCAGCCAAAAUGGUUCAUUGCGACCCACAGACCAUUCCCUACUGGUGGUGCUAGACCCAUGUGGCCUUGCGGCCACACAGCAAAGCGACCCUAUCUUAGCUAUUAACUUUAAGAUCCCACGAGAAUCAAAAUUCUCUUCUUUUAAUCACUCUAUCACAAACACAAUCAGAAGCACAUCACAUAAAAAUAACCCCUCUCGACUGUACUACACAGAAAUGUAGCAAUCAAAACCACAAAUGACUUGCAGCUUUACCUCCAAUCCUGAAGAAGCAAGUAAAACUGCAUCUUAGCAACCAAAGGAAAGAAGAACACACCUACUAAAGCUCUGUGCAUGUUCCAGAUACUAAACUCUACUCUACUUUACAGAAAUGCAGAACUCAAAACCCUCAAUGAUUUGCAGCUCUAAAUCCAACCCUAAAGAAGCAAGUAAAACUGCAACUUAGCAACCAAGUAAGAAGACUGCCGCGUGCAUGUUUCAGAUACUAAAAUCAAGAAAGGUACACAAAAAGAAAAGCCGAAUCACCCAUAACCCCCAACAAGAUUCAAUCUUUAACCUAAAGAGGCGCUCGAAAUGAUCAGCAGCAAUUGUCGGUGCAGAAAAUAAACCUAAACAGAUGCAAACGGAAACAUCAACAUAAACCCCUCAGACCUACCUUGAAUCUCCACGAUUUCCAGGUUGGAUGAAGAAAUCCAACAUCGACUAAUCCAUAAAAGUCAAAAAACCUUAACAAAUCGAUUUCUUUUCCGUACCAAAGGGAACAACUUACAGGGUUAUCGGAGGACAAAACGGAGCGACAAGAGAGUGCGCGCCAUGGAAACCACAAAAGCAGGGCCGAACAGGAGGCGGAGUCGAAGGGAAACCCAAAAAAACCCUAAUCUUUUAGUAGACGCGAAGCGAAAUAAGAAAGUGGGUUUCAAAGUGGGAGGAACAGAAGAAGAAAAAGGCUAUAAAAAAGACAGUUUUGGAGUGGGAGAGAGUAACAUAAUGAGUAGUAUUCCACUAAUACCCCCUUUUUAUAUUGACUUCAAUAAAAGAGGCUUUACAUAUAUCUAUCAUUGCAAGUCUCCCAAUAUUAUAUUUAUCAUUAUAUGAUUUUUAAUAUAACAUAUAAGCUUAUGUCACUAAUAUCCAUCUAAAAUACUCGAUUUUCUUACUUAAAGUUUGAACAAUAAUAGUUUUAUUUAAUAAAUAUUUUGAUAAUUUAGAUUUUAUAAAAAAUAAUUUUAUUUUGAUUUAUAAAAAUACAUAAAUCAUACAAAAUACCUAAAUUUUCUUUUAAAAUUCUUAUCAUCAUGAUAAUUUUUUAAAGGAUUUGAAUUACCAUUAUUAUAUAUGUAAUCAAAUUUGUUACACUAAAAAUAUCAUAAAUCUAUUUAACAUUGAAUCGAUCGAACUUGUUCGAUUUAAAUCAUAAUUAUAUAUGAUAAUUUUUUUGUUUUUGUGCAUUUUGAAAAUAAGAAUUUUAUUUCUGGAGAAAACUCACACUUAUAUAUAAUGAAAUAUAUACAAAAAAUUAUUGACUUUUGGGAGAGAUAGAAUCAUGUUCUAAAUAUCCUUCUAAAACACUUAAUUUAAUCACUUUUUAACUAUAAAUAAUAAUUUUUUGAGCUACAAAACAUAUAAUAAGUUAUAUAUAUAUAUAUAUAACUUAUUCUAUUAUGCUAUUUCUUGAGCCCGCCCGCUUCGUCAUCGCCACGGCUCCGAAACGCUCCUGCCAGUCGCCGCCAAGACGAAGCGAAGGUCCCAGAGACGAGAGGCGGAUGGCGGCGAACCCGUCGACGUACUCUCCGUCUCAGAGCUCGGAGACCAGGCAGCAGAAGCGAAGACUGUUCCAGAAGACCGAUUGGACUCGGUGCAGGCCCGCUUGUUUGUAUCCUCUCUCUUUAUGUUACGCCCUCGAGUUGUUCGAUGUUUUGCCUACACGAAGAACAUUAGAGGAAUUGACAUUGUGCCGUGCAGCUCUCGGGACGGGCGCUGCCAAUUCUGCCUCAGGAUCUGCUUACCCGGCGUUCGGAGCGACCACGGUCAUCGUAUCCGUGUAAGCAAACUCCGCCAGUGCUCAAAACUUGUGCCUUCUGCGAAAUGCAUUCAUAGAAUUCUCAUUGUUCUGCUCAAAAUUGCGAAUGUCGUAUGGUAUAAGUAGGUAUUUUAUGAAGUGACAUAUCUACUCAAAAUGCCUGCUCGAUCCUUAAUCUAGCAUCUCCAUCAGUCUUGCUUCUCUCCUCUACAACUAGUAAAUUGAACUGAGUCAGUAUAUGCUUGUCAUCUUCAAAGUUACUGGUUCCUAGCCUUUCCUAUAUGUGUUCAGUGUCUUCCAUGUCAAUGUAACCUCAAGAAUUAGAUACAUAAGAAUCUACUUACUUUUUCUAGGUCAGAUUCGAUCUGUGAUGGAUUCCUAUUCGAUCUACUCGACGCAACAAUUUGGUAGGUAUCAUGUUGACUGUUUUGUGAUUUGUGCGCUAUGACAUGGGCAGAUUCUUCGACGAACCAUUGCUGACGCUGCAAAGGCCAGAGUUGUACUUCCACAACCCACUACGGACUUGUACCGAACAAGAUAACGACAAUUCCACCAAUAGAUCUCUCCACAUAUCCACCAUCGCUCAAAAAGCAGCAGCAGAGUGCAUGAGAUGGUGCGGCAGCAGCAAAAAGCUAAAGCUGAAGCAAAAGUGUGAGCUUUCUUUGGUCUUGCAAUCCAUAUAGAAGUCACCCACUACUCACAUCACAUGCUUCCAGUGUUCAUCUCCUCUGUGAACACAGUUAUCUUCUUGCCAUUUCGUCUGUCGUAGAGCUUAUUCCAAGAUUCUUCACAAAGGGAUCAUUGGCUACAGCUUGGUGUUGUAGAUUCUGAGUCCGAUGUCCGGAAUAGAGCAGUCGAUGACCGGCGUCCACAGGCCGUCCGUGUCGGCGACCACCGUGGUCAUGGUCGCGGGAGUCAUCGCCUCCACCGCGCUCUUCGUCCUCGUCUUCUUCCUGUACCUGCGUGCCAAGCGCUACUGGGGUGCCAUCCCGGUCAGCAUCCGCGGCCGCUUGGCCGAGCCAGCGGCUGCCCAGCAGCGAAGCGGCCUAGACGCCGCCGCCGCCGUGGGGGCUCUCCCUUCGGUAGUGGUCCGCGCCGGGGACUGCAAGGAGGGCCUGGAGUGCGCGGUCUGCCUCUGCGAACUGUCGCGGGGCGAGGCCGCGAGGCUGCUGCCUACGUGCGGCCACGCCUUCCACAUCGAGUGCAUCGACGCGUGGUUCUCCUCCCACUCCACCUGUCCUCUCUGCCGGAGCCCCGUGGUGCACGAGAAGCCCCAAGAGGCUGGUUCCGCCGCUGAAUCGGUUCCUGGCCGCUUCCACUCGGAGGAACCGCCGCCGGAGAUAGAGGAUCAAGCUGGCCGGAGCUCGAGCCCUUCCGAUCAUCCUUCAGGUAGUACGCCGGCUGUGUCGGUGUCUGAGACACCAAGAAUAGCAGUGGACGGAUUCCAAACCCUGAAUUCUUCGGCAGCAACGUUGAGGUCGUUGCGAAGGCUGCUGAUUUGCGGAAGCAGGACGGGCGGCGCUUCCUGCAGUAGUCGAGAAUGCGACGUCGAGCAGGGACGUCUUCCCGUUUGAUAAAAGGCUGCAUGAUGCAGAAAGCAUUGUUCUUCCACUGAAACAAACGAAGCUUUUCAUCAUCUACAUUUCCAUUACAUCUGUACAGUGUCUCGAGGCAUUUAGGAGUUGCAAGCAGAGGAUUAUAGCUUCUGCACUUUUGCUGCUUCUUUUGUAAAUCUAAGUCAAUCCAUGUCGGAACAUUUGAUACUGAGUUCUCUUUAUGGCACAAAGAUCACUCGUGCUUUUCUUUCUCCUCCUCUUAUGGGAUCGGUUUUUACUUGUUGUGGCGUUGAUGGAAAUGAUCGAUCAUCCACAGAUAUUACUGCUAAUUUCAUGAUUCAGCUAAUCUGUGAAGACAUCUAUGCAAAAUGGAGCUUCCAGAUUCUGAUCUAUGUUGAUAUGCCAACUGAGCAGACCACUGAACGAUCCCAUUGAUCUUAUCCAAAUUGCUUUUGAACCACAAAUUGAUAGUUCUGAGAGUGGUAGAUAUCUUGACCGACAUGUUCUAUAAUGGGUGGCUUCCAGCAUCCUAUUCUCUCAUCCUUUUUCUUUGAAGAGAGAAACAGGUCAAUUAUUUCUUCAUUCAGAUUCUAAUCAUAUGAUCACUCGAGUUUACACGCACACAUUCAUCAAUGAAUUCGGACUACAGGAUUCCUGAUGAAUAUAUCGAGUAGAUCAUGAUAAAUAAUAUCGAAACUAAUCUAAUAUUAGAUAUGACGAGUGACUCUGGUGGUAGACUAAGACUUAAAUUCUUCAAAUGGAAAAUUCAUAAUGCUAUUAUUUCAAUAUCAUAUUUGAAAUGUGAGAAGAUUUGAGUUAAUCUAUACAAACUGAAAAACAAUUAUACUAAAUUGAAUUUAAGUUUUUUUUUUAUUAUGCUUCAAUUCAACUAGAAAAAAAAAAAACAUCGUACUCUCGAUUUAGCCUCCGUCCAAAUCUAACUAUGAUUGAGUUAGAGGUAAUAUAAGUUUUCUCUAAGAUGUUACUGCAGCUAUCACAUUCCUCUCUCGGAAUCUGCCCAAAGUGAAUGCAGAGACAGGGAGGUCCACCUCUUUGUUCUCGAGCUGCGAGACGCCCAGUGAGACGACAAGCGGCAGAACAGUGGCGACGGGUUCUUGGCCGUGCGUCUCCGUAGCUGCGGCGACCACGCACUCCGGCAGUACAGCCGACCAUGUCGAGUGGAAGCGGACGUGGCCAGAGCAUAGAACGUGAAAGGAAGUUUUGGAGUUGCAGAGCAUGAGGCCAUAAAAGAUAAACGAGUCAGGGAACUGUCAAUUAGAAGAUACCAAAUAUCAUCUGUUCAUCCAUCAUUUAUUCUCCUCCAAUGGAACUGCCACUAUUUUCCAAUUUGUGAUCAAUCUCUUUUUUUUCCUUCUUCUUGUGCUAUUUCUUGCGUAACAAGUUACAUGGUGAUGUUCCAAUCACUCCAUAUUCGAGAUAAUUAAAGGGGUGACUCAUGUUCGUCAAGGAAUCGAUAUAUACGAAGUACGAGUAUCCGACAAGAUCCAUUCGACGUUCAAGUUAGUUAAUGCUGAAAUGAAAAGUGAAAUCACGAGUAAAUAAUAUCUAACUUUUAUAAUAAUAAUAAAAUAAUAAUUUUUAUAGAUGAAAAAAUAUAUUUUUUUUUGUAAAAUGAGCAUAAUAUUUUUUUUUCCAUGGUCCAUUGUCAUAAUUAUGUUAGGGUGGCUAUCAUGCUGACUAUAUAUUUAAAUUAUACUGAUCCCACCACUUGUGACAUGAGGGGGACUACCCAACAAAUGCAGUGUUGCUGAAAAGCCUUCUCUCACAAAAAUUGAUGCAGAUGACAAGGUAGAAGAUUUUUGGUUGGGUGUACAAAGUUUCAAGAGCUUCAAUUGCUUGAUUCAGCAGUAGAAACAACCUAUGCAGCUUUGCAUGCUACUCCACAGAAAGAGCACUACCUAACAUGUGAUGUUCCAAUAUCUUCAUCUCCACCAGCCAAAGAUAAAUGCUUCAGAAGUGUGACCUGUAGUCCAUGACAACUUGUUCUUUCCCUCUGGAGAAUUGUGCAGUCGGUAAAGGUCAGAGGACUCCAAAAGUUUGUCUCAUGAAGGUUCACCAAUUGUUUGUCCUCUCUAAUGUUCAACAACACACGAUUAGUUCCAGCAAAGUGACAUCUGCCCACCACCGGCAGAAACCAAACAUGGAGAAGAAGAAGAAGAAGAAGAAGAUAGGUUUAGCAGUAAGUAAGCAAAUAAGUCAGUGCUGUCAGAAAUCCUAUGGUAGGGGAUAGGAUAAAUGAUGGCUUAAUAAUAUAUCCACCAGAUCUGUACAUCUGUUUAAUGAGCAGAUGUAUCAAACCCACACUAUUUAUUGGCAAAUCAUGGAUCUUGUAAGUCAGAUUUUGAUCAUUAUUUCCGCAUCAGAUCUCAUAUAAUCCACUAGCUUGGAUGGUUAAGACAUUCAAAUCCUCUUAAUGAUCGACCCGAUGUCGCAUCUGAUAGACAGGAUUAUUCAGCAUAGAGCUUUAAACUUCAGCCAUGGAAGUGGAUCGACCUUUCAAUUCAGCUUUUUCUUGCUCCAAACAUCUCCUGGCCUACUUGAUGCAACUGCAAAGGUGUGGCCAACUUCUGAUAGUGAUCUCUAGAGUUGCUCUUGGACUGUUUCUUAGCUUCUUCAAUUAUGCAUUCGGUUCUGGCCGUCCAAUUCUCUCUCACACACAGCACUGCCUACUCAUCUUGAUUCUAUGUUACCUCUGAUGGGUCCAACCAUUUUGAUCAUGAACAACCAAGACAACACUUGCAAACACACGAGAAUUGAGGUGGAUCCAUCCUAACUCUCUUUUUGCUGCAUAGGUUAGCUUGUCUGCAUCAGCUUUUCAUAUCAAUGGUUAAUGUGCACCCGUGCAUGCACAAACAACAGCCUGUUCAUGGUGACAUGUGUGUUUACUGUGACAACGGACUUCCGAGAUGAUCAACCUGCAGGUAAAUGGCUUUGUCAGAUCCGAUCUGCUCUCUCUGAUGAUAAAUGUGAUGACCAGAAACCAUACCUCACUCGAAGACCUGAAGUCGGAUUUCAUAUGAGACAUCGUUCAUGUGGUCUUGCUGUAAGGGCUCUAAAUUCUUGAAUGCUGCCAUUUUGCUCUUGCUGUGGUUGAUCCUCGCAAAUCUGCUGCUUGCUGAAACAAGGACAUUGUACCCCACAAAAUGCUUUUCGAUACGUUUGCGAUCGAAAGGGAGCUAAUUUUAUUGCAGCAUAAUAUGGCAUUUCAGCCUUACACAGACAGUCUGUAAACAUCAAAGACGAUUUAUUUUUCUCUUUUUAGUUUUGUCGACGAGUAGCUCUCGGCUUAAUUAAGACAAAAACUCAUGAAGGAAGCCUCCUUCUAGAUCUCGGACAUGUGAACAAACAGAUAGACUUGCCGGUGAUGCUUCUCGCUUGGAACUACUUAGCGCCAUUAAAUGCAGCUUCUCCAUCAGCUGCCAGGGGUACAGACUCGGCCUGAAAAUAAAGAUCGAGCCGAUACAAGCAUUAGCCAAGUGACAAUACGAUGAGCGACUCGAGUAAAGACACUGAUCUAGGUGUGUGGCUUUUUACCAAAUUGCGAUAUUUGAGGGCAUAGAACAUCUCAAGGUAACGGCGAGUCUCGCGCCUAUCCAGGUUGGACACAUACUUCCAGAAGCCAUAAACUCCCGACAGUGUCAUCAGCCUCUCAGAGUAGAGCUUCCAGGUAUACCUAAUUUAUUUGAAUUUAGAGUGCAAGUUAGAGAACUUUUUACAAAUCCUUGAUUUUGGCAUUCAUUGAUAAUAAGAAAGCAUCACUGAUAGGAGGAGGUCUUACUUCUCUUCGAUCCUCCGCAGCCCUCCUUGGGAAAUCUUGUCCCAGUAGGUUGGGUCUUCCUUGCACUUCCCAAAGAAAUUUAAGAUGAUAUUAGCAGCUUUGUCACCCUGGUAAGGAUCGAUGUGGAAGCCGGAAACCCCAUCUACGAUAAUUUCACCGGGUCCUCCGUGAACAGUUGCGAAUGUUGGCAGGCCACACGUCAUGGACUCGAUAACAGUGAGUCCAAAGGCUUCGUAGAAGGCCGGCUGAGGAAACGAAAGUAGAAAAAGUAGGUUAGUAGCACUUCAACUCAGAAGGUAAUUCGGCUAUCGAGUGUUCAUAGCAUGCCAUUCUUCCACAAAGUAGAGAAGUACUUGAACGAAAGCUCCUCUUGAGUCGGCAAUGUAUCUGUAGAGCUCGCCAUUGCGAACCCGGUUCAUUUGGGCAGAGAUCCAACGAAUAUGCCCAUGCAAAUUGUACUUUUCAAUGAGACUGUACAUCUUCUUAAACUCUGCUUGUUCUUCACGAUCCUUUGAUUCUUUCCCGUGGUCGCCGCCAACCACCACAAGGUUCACCAGCUCCUUCAAGCGAUCAUUCUUGCCAUAAAACUCGACCAGGCCUGUUAAGUUCUUCACACGGUCCAGUCUUGCCAUGGAGAAUAUGAUGGGUUUCUUAGUGUCAUUCAGCACACCCCUGCAAGAGACUCGAGUCAGUCACCGCGCCAAGCAAGACAAAUAUAGUAAAUGCAGUAGAAACAAUGGGUGCUUACUUGUGCUCGGUGUUAUCUUUAGGAUUGAAUAGCAGCUCCUCGAUCUCUGGGUGCAGCGAAGUGAGUCUCUUUUGCUUCUCGGUGUAUGGGAAGUAAAUAGUCAUAUCAGCCCCAGGAGAGACAAUGUUGAACUUCGGGUCGAAGACAUCAAUUCCAUGAACAACCCGGUAGAGUCCAGGAAGAGUAAAGGCAGUGUGAGACUCAUACUGCCCCACGGUGUCCUUGCUGAAAUCAUAUAAGAUAUCAGAGAAUCUCAUUUAAAUAACAAUUGUCAUUUUGGUACUCCGAGAUUAACAUAAGAAUUUUGGAGCGGAAAGCUGUUCGGUCUUAAAUCUUAAUGAUACCUUCCAGCAAUCUCCUGGAAGGUGCUGGUGAUGAUAAAAUCAGCAUGAUUCAUCGCAAUCAAGUCAGCUGUGAAUUGGCAUGAGAAAUGAUACUGAUUCUCGAACUUCUUCCAGUAGAUGUCUGAGUUAGGAUACUUUGUUUUCUCCAGCGCAUGCGCAAUGGUGCACUGUAUGUGAAAGAAAAUGAGCAUCACCAGUUCAGGAAGCUUAUAGUCAGUAGUGCCAGGGAGCAGCACCAAUAAAGCAAUUACGAACUGAAAGAUUUGAACCUGGGUUACUCCCAAUUUAUGCGCUAACAAAGUUGAUACGAGAUUCCCAUCACUGUAGUUUCCGAUGAUUAGAUCAGGAGUGGCCUGCAGUUCAGCUGCCAACUCAUUCGCAACAUCCUACAAGCAUAAAGAAGACAUGAACUUUCUAGUACAAGUUUAACAGAGCAGAUCAAGUAAUCAUGAUAUUAAGAUGUUAUUGAGGUGUGUACCUCUGUAUAGGUCUCGAGGUAAGGCCAUACUUCAAAACGGGAGAUCCAUUUGCGGACAAUUCCGUUCUCCGUUCUAAAUGGAACUCGAAGAAUAUGAGUGUGCUCAGUUCCAAGGACCUUCUCAAGUCUCUGCCCGCAAGUAGUGCCUACUGCAUCAGGAAGCAAUCUGGUAACCUGCAUCACCACAGUAACAUAAGCUCAGGCCGGCUAUGUUACCCUAUAUUAUCUUUAAGAUCUGGAGAGAAUCCAUGACCACAAGAAUUUGCCGAUCAAUCUAAUUCCAAUCUCACAAUAAGAAUUCGAGGUGUGAUAUGUAGCCCUUGACGCUUGAUCCUCAAAAGCAUCUCGUUUUCUAGAGCACGGACUUGAUCCAAGAUGUAAACAACCUGCAAAGGAGGCAUCUCGUGAGAGAUUAUUUCAAUUUGAUCAAAGUCAACGCCAGUAAAGAAGAAAUCAUACCUGACCACCGGUGUCCGGAUAACCCAAGACAUUAGCCUGGGCAAAGUAGCCAUGCGGAGAAAGGAUCACGACGUUGAACAUCAUAGGAAUUAUUCCAAGGAAAUUUUCCAAGGUGGUUGGGUCAGGGGCCUCAAGAAGAUCUAGCAGUAGAUGGAUGUUCUCAUAUACACGCCGAGCUGUGUCGCCCCAACCCUUUUCCAAGCCAAGUUCUUGAAAUCUAAAGCCAGCCAAAAAAAGAACUUUUCUGAUCACAAACGACAUCUAAAGUUCCCUCCUUUGCAUGAAAAAUAGAACUAUAUAUUUCAGUUUAUAAAUAGCCGGGGAAACAUGAACAAAAAAAGAAACAUAAUCGAUUACCUGUGGUUGAAUUCUGAGUAUGGCGUUUUCGAUGGGAUACUCAAUAAAUGUUGCUCUGCCUUCCUUAGUGCAGCUCGGAGGGCACUGAGGCUUUGUAUUCUAUCAUUCAGCAUCAUAGACUGCAAACACAACAACAACUACAUAAAUUUGCAGACUCCAGUAAAGUUAGCUAUCUAAGCCUAUAAAUUUGAAUGAUUAAGCCAUUUGAUAUAGCAGAAAUGAGUAUCGGACGUAUAAUAACACUUGCCAGUCAUCUCAAGAAAACUAAAUUUUCAGUAGUCAAAUACCAUCAGUGGAUUGCACUUCUUUCUUUCCCUCAACUACAACUCAAGUCUGAAGUUUAUAAUCUUUAUUAAGAUGCUUAAAUAGGUUUCCUGGAUUUAAGAUCCUGAACUCUAUGAUAUUAUAAAUUCGUGGGUAGAACUUCACGAACAGUACAACACACAAUUACUCAACAUCAACAAGCUAUAUAUGCAUUAUAAACCUAGAGAAGAAACAAAUACCAUGCCCUUGUAGUUAUGCUUCCUGAGGAAAUUAAGCAAGGGGUACAAGCUUUCUUUGUCUUGGAACAACUUCGAAGAAAGAUGACGGUUCAGAAACUGCACCCCAUUUCCAAUGGAUUUCGAUAGUGAGGGACGAGGAAAGGAAGCAUUGAAGGGCUCAAAAUCCAACUCCAGCACAAAGUUACUAUUUUGCGAACUGAAAGAAGGCAAGAAAGGUAACAGAAGAUCAAAUAGUUGUUCCAUGUAAAGUAAAUAAGACUCUACUGACCACACUAUAAAGAAGAAGAAAAAAG
rnacentral:lncRNA from 1 species